rnacentral:rRNA from 1 species
AACGAACGCUGGCGGCAUGCCUAACACAUGCAAGUCGAACGCGUGUAGCAAUACACGAGUGGCGAACGGGUGAGUAACGCGUGGGAACCUGCCUAGUGGUAGGGAAUAACCGCGGGAAACUGCGGCUAAUACCCUAUGAGCCCUACGGGGGAAAGAUUUAUCGCCAUUAGAGGGGCCCGCGUCGGAUUAGCUUGUUGGUGAGGUAACGGCUCACCAAGGCAACGAUCCGUAGCUGGUCUGAGAGGAUGAUCAGCCACACUGGGACUGAGAUACGGCCCAGACUCCUACGGGAGGCAGCAGUGGGGAAUAUUGGACAAUGGGGGCAACCCUGAUCCAGCAAUGCCGCGUGAGUGAAGAAGGCCUUAGGGUUGUAAAGCUCUUUCGGCGGGGACGAUGAUGACGGUACCCGCAGAAGAAGCCCCGGCUAACUUCGUGCCAGCAGCCGCCGUAAUAC